AAUAGAUACCCCGGUAGUCCACGCUGUAAACGAUGAGGACUAAAUGUUGGUAGGGGAACCUAUCGGUAUUGAAGCUAACGCGAUAAGUCUUCCGCCUGGGAAGUACGGCCGCAAGGUUGAAACUCAAAUGAAUUGACGGGGGCCCGCACAAGCGGUGGAGCAUGUGGUUUAAUUCGAUGCAACGCGAAGAACCUUACCUACCCUUGACAUCCUGCGAAUCCCGAUGAGAGUUGGGAGUGCCGCAAGGAGCGCAGAGACAGGUGCUGCAUGGCUGUCGUCAGCUCGUGUUGUGAGAUAUUGGGUUAAGUCCCGUAACGAGCGCAACCCUUGUCCUUAGUUGCCAGCAUUAAGUUGGGGACUCUAAGGAGACUGCCGGUGAGGAACCGGAGGAAGGCGGGGACGACGUCAAGUCAUCAUGGCCUUUANGGGUAGGGCUACACACGUGCUACAAUGGGGCGUACAGAGGGUCGCGAACCCACGAGGGGGAGCCAAUCUCAUAAAGCGUCUCGUAGUCCGGAUUGGAGUCUGCAACUCGACUCC
rnacentral:rRNA from 1 species